rnacentral:lncRNA from 1 species
AGUGGGGGAAAAAAGAAACUGCUUCAUAUGCUGUGAGAGCUCCUUGUGCUGUGGAUCACUGUGAAGGGAGCACAGUCCUGAGGGCAGCAGCUCCUGUUUGCAGCACACAGAGGUGAGCACAAAGGGGAGGGAGAAGGAGGCUGAGCAGAGCUGUGUCUGUGUGUCUGUCUGCAUGGCCUUGCCCUCUCCUGCAGCACAUCUGAGGCAAUGCCGGGAUGUGGUCACAUCUGCUGAGCAAGAAUUGGACACCUUUCCACAAUCCUGGGAGCAGCUGGGCAUGUUUGGAGACCUGCCGUGACUAUGAAGGCACUUCAGUCAUCACCUGCUGCUUCCCAGCCCGUGAUUAAUCUUGGCCAUAAGGAUGAUUCAGAAUGAAACUGCAAAGCAAAGCAAAACCUUUUCUCUGCCUUCUGCAACUCAGAGAAGAAGACACCUAGGGUAUCUCAGCCUCCUGAAUAUACCCCUGCAAUCACGGUGUUCAUCUGCUUGGUGUAGGAAUCCAUCCUCUGAGAGCUCCCCUGGGGCCAUCAUCUAACAAGAGGCCCAGUGUGGAUGGGAUGCCAGGUGCCAUUUCCUUGCAGCAAUGCCAGUUCCAGCCCCUCUGCCUGCCUGGGGCGCCAAGGGCACUGAAACAACUGCUUCUCAGUCACCUGUGGACUGAGCUCCUCUAUGGAUUUCACUCCAGGGAGCCAUGGAAGAGCUGGCCUGUGUUCCAUGGGCUCCUGGAGCAAACUGCAGGAAGACAUAACAAGGACUAACAGAAUUCUGAAGUAGAUGACCUGCAGCCACAUUAAUUAUUGAUCAUGUUAGUGGCUGAUAAGUUGUGCUAAAUUGAUCUGUUGCAAGAUAAUGUGAAUUAAAAGCUGCUUAAAUAUUUAAUUUUGAGCUCUUUCUAUAUGGCAGGAAUUUGAAUGAAUGGCUACACAGGAGUCAUGACUGGAAUCAACUUUUCAGUAAAACAAGCUGUCAGAAUAAAAGGUAGUAUCUAAAUGUAAAUCAUGAUUUAUUAGAGGAGGAAUCUCUUGCAGGUAAACAUUUUAAUGAAGGACUGGAAAUCUUUCCUCACAAAAUUCUCUAAAGGUAGGAGAGUAAAUUAAGAUUUUUUUUUGUUAUUAGUUUAAUUCCUCCAUAUUUUACUUUAAUUAAAUGCUGCUUCAUCUGCUGGGAAAAAGAGAGACUAAAAGCCUGUAAGAAGUGAAGGAAGACUAUUGGCUGAAACUCCAUAUGUUUGUUGCAGCACUGCAAUGCUGUACAGCUGGAGCACAGCUUGAGUAAAAUGAAUCUGUAGAUGACUGGUGAGAGGAAGUAAGGGGGCUAAUUCUGACAUUGGAUACAUAUAUGUGUGUGUGUAUAUAUAUAUAUAUCAGGCAAAAGAAUUUGCUGAUGACUCUGCACAGGGGCUUGUAACAGGAGGGAGCCAGUGCCCUGAGCUAAAGUGCUUUUGCCAGUGAGGUAAGUCCCACUGAAGAAAAACGUUGGCAUCACUCCCUCUGAAGAAGAGCUGCUUAGAUCCCCUCAGCAUACUCAGAUCUACUGCAUUGCAUCACAAAUUAUUUUGAAAGACUUCAUGGUGUCAUUAAUAGAGUUUUGAAGGCUGACAUGCAUUCUUGGUUGGUUUAGAUGCUGUAGUUCCAAAUAAAUCCUUCCCUGGCUUCUCCCAGCCUUUCUACAAAGAAACACCCUUAAUGUAAAGCAGUCUUGGUCCUGAAGUAGAAAGGUGUUUUAUUUCACCAGUUUAAUGCAAACAGG